AAAAAACGGUCAAACAUCACUUUACAAAGGUCUUCACAUAAAACAAACAUGAAACCACAAUUACAGAAAUAUCACAGGAACAUCAAUAAAAAAAGUCACAAUGAAAUGCUAAAAUUAAGCGUGUACAUUACAAUAUCAACGAUCAGGCAUGGAUGGUUGAAAAUUAAAUAAUUCAACCAUUAGAUAAACUUUAGGAUAAGUUCAUAAUAAUCACUGAUGUUAAUGUAAACCAACAUCUUAAAUUCAUUAUCAUAGCACAGCUGCAUAUUGGCACCGUUAUUUUUGUAUUCUUGUGCUGUUAAAAUAAAUGACUAGCAUAAAAAGAGAAUACAUGUGUGUGUGUAUGCUUGUGCAUGUAGCCUAUGUGGAGAAAUCGGUUCAUAAUUAAGUUUAAAAUUCACAUAAACCGUUAGUUAUGUUCCAGUAUGUCCCUUUAAGUAAAAUUAUAGCAGAAUACUGUAGUGUUUCUGCUUGAGGUGUUUGCUGUGUAUUAGCUGGUGGUGCCUGCAGGCAGUCCUCGGUUGCCCAGGAAACACAGAUGGUGGAUGAAGGGCGCGCAUACAAAAGACCAUAAACCUGUUGCAGCAGCUGGAGACCGAGACCACUGAUUAAUUCAGGUCUGUGCAGUCCUGCUUAGUCAAAGACGUCGCUGUUCUCUUUAAUACCUCCCAUCCAUUUUCUUUGUCCCUGGGCUUCCGUCUCCACUUGAUCCUGUUUUCCCCCGGACCGGAGUCCCGUCAGUGCGCAGCUGCUGUUGGCACUCCCACAUCUGCUUGUCUCAGCUCGGCAGCCAUAUAGACGACGCUCAGCCGCGGCUCAUGUUAGUGCGUAGCGUGUAGAUCCAGGGGGGCGACCAGCCUUUUACUGCAGGCGUAAUCACUGCACACACACACGGCGUGUAGUUGCAGGUUAGGCAUCUUGCCCUCAACAUGGACAAAGAAGGAGAAGAAGUGAUCUUUUCGCACCGUUUGAUGCUGCGGGGCAGGUGCAUGUGGAACCCGGAGAUCACUGGUAACCAUGUGGUCAGUGUUGCAGGGACUUUUCACUGGAUUCAUCUAGAGCUGUUGACAUGUCACCAGUCAGAACACUGGGAGGAUCCAAAUAGGAACCAACUGCAGGACAGGUUAUGUGUACAGGCUGGAUUAUCUUUAUCAAAAAUCAUGAGGGAGGAUCAUUUUCCCUGGCGCACAAUAUCAGAUGGUGAAUUUAAUAGUAAUAAUUACUCAGUUAGUUAGAUAACUGAUAUCAAUGAAGCCUAUCUCAAGUCACAUAUCUUUUAGCAGUGGGUAUAUUUCAGUCUAAUUUGUGUCUACAUAAAAAGCAGUAAGGAGAGGCAAUUAAAUGAAAGAACAAGUAAUCCCGGGGGUAUCUUGGGAGGACAGUUGGGUUGCGGCCCACUUUUCUGCUGCUUUGUGUUGUGUGUUCCUCUCCAGUUACACUGAUGAAAGAGCAGAUCGGGGCUCGCACUGGACCUCAUGAGCUGCAUCACCCUCUGCUGCGCUGCCUUGCAGACUGGUACAGGAUCUGUCAGUAGAUUUACACCACGUGAUUAACGCCAUUACUGCUGCGUUUACCUUCAGAAGGAAAGGAUCCAUGGCCAAGUGUUUCCCCACUGAGGGAUGACUUCUGCUGCUUUUGUGUAUCAGUGAAAAAUGCCACCACUGCUUUGCAGUCAGUGUCAGCAUGAUCAGAUUUAGCAGGAAGGUAUUUCAUGGGUGGUGUUUUGGAGUCUAAAAUAAUUUGCUGCAGUGUUCUUUCCUGUCUCUCUCAAAUGUGUGUAUUCUCCUGGCUGUGAGUAAUACUAAUAUAGCUUCAUCCACCCCCACUCUCAUUUGUUUUUUUUUGGCUCAUCAAAAACACUGAAACUGCAGCCAUCGAAAACCUCUCAUGCCUGUUUAUUUCAGCUGCUGUGUGCAGUGACCUCUUCUCUCUGUUACCUUGGUUACUCUAACACUUUGGGCACUUCUCCCUGUAUAAGACACUUUAGAUUUACUACAAGUGGUGUUUUAAUGAUGCUAUCCUGUGUGUUAAUUUCUAACCAAUGGGACAAUGUGCGAUUGACUAUGUGCGAUGUUCUUUGUUUGUCUUGCUACCAACUAUUUUUAACGUACAAUACGUACUCUGUAUUUUUACUGUAAUGCGUGGGCGUGUGUGUGUCUGCGUGAGUGCAUGUGUUUGUGUGCAUGUGCUCUAUUUGUGUGUGUGUUUCUUCCUGUAUGUGUGCAUGUGUAUCAUGUCUGACAAAACAGACAUUUGUUAUGAUCCUGAAGCUACUAGCUGCUUUUCUGUGAUUUUCUCACAGCUGCAAAGUUUUAAAAUGCCUGAAGCUCUUCCUUUAGCCACUGGAUGUACCAGAGAAGGGAUAAAAACAUAUUUACAAGUGAUUCUUAGCAUUUGUUUCGACCUCAUUGAAGUACCAGUUAAGUGGGGAGUCUUGUGAUUUAGGUUAUCACAAGAAUGUCGCUGGAAAUUAAUGGUGUGUACUUUUCUAAAUGAUGCCUGCUGGUAUUAAUUAAACUGUAAUGAUGCCUACAGCCCCAUCAUCUGAUACUUAAGCAAAUUACAGCAAAUGCUAAUAAUUAUGUGCAAAUAGCUUUUUACCCAGGUCUGGAUUCUACUAACAGUAUCUCACUAAUAUCUAACAAUACUAAUGUCUGCUAACAGUCGGAUGAUUACUAACCUGUACUGUGAAUGCUGAUGGCUGGCCUUGUUCUUUCUAACCCACCGACUAACCCUCUGCUUUAUGCCCGCAGUCUGAUGCACACACUCCUCUCUCAUGAUCCUGAAAUCCUUAUUCUAGAAAUGGCCAACUUAGAUUGAUUAUUAAAGAAGAAAAAUCAAGGAAAACUGUUAAAGUGAAGUCAAGAAGGGUUUCAGAAUUUGGGAAGGGAAAUGUUAUUAACCACUAGAUGAAAAGAGGAGCUGCUGAUACCAAACUGGGUUGACCACACUCAACUACUACUUCUACUACUUUAGAAGAAUCCUUACAAAUCCAAUAAUCUGAUUCCAAAUGAUAUAACUGUACUUCACAGGCCAAAUUCACAUCUUCAGUGACCAUCUUUCUGUCUCUACCUGUGCACUGUGUGGUCAGCCUUCGCAGGUGAGUGCCUGGCUUGUUGUCACCAUAGGUAAUACAAGGAGACACAAGCCAAGCAAACCUCAACUCCACUACUAACGUAUUUUGGUGUUGAUACUAACAGUGGUGAGGCCGUAAAGGUCCACCUGUUGCUCUUACUAACAUCUUCUUUCAAUCCUGAUGUCUGAAAUCAAAUGAUUCUGUCCCUUUGUUAAUCUUUAAUUGUUAAUCUUGUGGUACUAGUGAUGUUUAUUUAAUGACAUUACAUGAAAGCUUUUAUCCAAAACAUCUUCUAGUGCCAUGAGUAUAUGCUUUUUUUAAGCAAUGGGCAGUCCUACUAAAGUCCUACAGCUCUAACCGUGUCAUGACAUGCUCAACAGAAGUCCUUAUAAACAAGCAAGCUAGACAGUUUUGCUCUCUCAACAAGCUACUAACAUCUUCUAAAGUUAAAUUGACAGAGACUAAUGAACAAAGAGCUUUAUUAGCUCUCAGCAAACUAACAAACUAACCUACUAAUAAACUAAUAAUCUAACAAAAACUAACUAAAACCACUAACUUUCUGCUGAGUGGCACAAUUAGUGAAGCACCCCGAUUUUGAGGAGUUGCAUCACUUAUUGAAUGUACUAACAGAAUUAAGUUUUGAAGAGUUUCUGAUGUGAUUGAAUGUCCCUGUCUGUGUAUGUGUGUGUGAGAGAGAGCACAGAAAAGUGUGUGUGUGUUUGUACAGAAUGUGUAUAUGUGUGCAAAUGUAAGCAAACUGGAUGAGUGACCGCCUGAUUUUCUCUCAAAACAAUAAUUUAACAUACCAAUGCAGAUUAUAUUCACUAGAGAAGUUUUAACCAAGUGUAUCCACAAUUACUCUUUCAGCUUAGCUGAGCACCAGGAUACCUAUAAAACACAGAUAUCACCCGUGAACCUCUCAAACAACACACUGUGUGAAAGUGCAUGUAAAGAAAAAUAAAAUAAAUGUACACAACUAUUUUUGUACUUUAUUGCUAAUUCAUCAGUUGUCUUUACUACAUAUGUUUGUAAUAAACAAUUUUCAUAUAUAAAUAAAACAUGUUUUUAUUGUA